rnacentral:rRNA from 1 species
GCCAGAAGCCAUAUCACCCUGCAACUCACAACGGGCAACCCACUGAAGCUAAACAGGUGAGAGCCUGGUCAGUACCUGGAUGGGAGACCUCCUGGGAAAAACUAAGGCUGCUGCUGGAA